UAGGGAAUCUUCCGCAAUGGACGCAAGUCUGACGGAGCAACGCCGCGUGAGUGAAGAAGGAUUUCGGUUCGUAAAACUCUGUUGUUAGAGAAGAACAGCGCAUAGAGUAACUGUUAUGCGUGUGACGGUAUCUAACCAGAAAGCCACGGCUAACUACGUGCCAGCAGCCGCGGUAAUACGUAGGUGGCAAGCGUUGUCCGGAUUUAUUGGGGGUAAAGCGAGCGCAGGCGGUUAAUUAAGUCUGAUGUGAAAGCCCCCGGCUCAACCGGGGAGGGUCAUUGGAAACUGGUUGACUUGAGUGCAGAAGAGGAGAGUGAAAUUCCAUGUGUAGCGGUGAAAUGCGUAGAUAUAUGGAGGAACACCAGUGGCGAAGGCGACUCUCUGGUCUGUAACUGACGCUGAGGGUCGAAAGCGUGGGGAGCAAACAGG
rnacentral:rRNA from 1 species